rnacentral:rRNA from 1 species
UACGGGGGGAGCAAGCGUUGUUCGGAUUUACUGGGCGUAAAGGGCGCGUAGGCGGCCACCGCAAGUCAAUUGUGAAAUCUCCGGGCUUAACUCGGAAAGGUCAACUGAUACUGCGGGGCUAGAGUGCGGAAGGGGCAACUGGAAUUCUCGGUGUAGCGGUGAAAUGCGUAGAUAUCGAGAGGAACACCUGCGGCGAAGGCGGGUUGCUGGGCCGGCACUGACGCUGAUGCGCGAAAGCCAGGGGAGCGAACGGG